UACGUAGGUGGCAAGCGUUAUCCGGAAUUAUUGGGCGUAAAGCGCGCGCAGGCGGUUUCUUAAGUCUGAUGUGAAAGCCCACGGCUCAACCGUGGAGGGUCAUUGGAAACUGGGGAACUUGAGUGCAGAAGAGAAAAGCGGAAUUCCACGUGUAGCGGUGAAAUGCGUAGAGAUGUGGAGGAACACCAGUGGCGAAGGCGGCUGCCUGGCCCUGACCUGACGCUGAGGCGCGAGAGCGUGGGGAGCAAACCGG
rnacentral:rRNA from 1 species